GACGAACGCUGGCGGCGUGCCUAAUACAUGCAAGUUGAGCGAUGAAGAUUGGUGCUUGCACCAAUUUGAAGAGCAGCGAACGGGUGAGUAACGCGUGGGGAAUCUGCCUUUGAGCGGGGGACAACAUUUGGAAACGAAUGCUAAUACCGCAUAACAACUUUAAACAUAAGUUUUAAGUUUGAAAGAUGCAAUUGCAUCACUCAAAGAUGAUCCCGCGUUGUAUUAGCUAGUUGGUGAGGUAAAGGCUCACCAAGGCGAUGAUACAUAGCCGACCUGAGAGGGUGAUCGGCCACAUUGGGACUGAGACAAGGCCCAAACCUCUACGGGAGGCAGCAGCAGGGAAACUUCGGCAAUGGACGAAAGUCUGACCGAGCAACGCCGCGUGAGUGAAGAAGGUUUUCGGAGUGUAAAACUCUGUUGGUAGAGAAGAACGUUGGGGAGAGUGGAAAGCUCAUCAAGUGACGGUAACUACACAGAAAGGGACGGCUAACUACGUG
rnacentral:rRNA from 1 species